rnacentral:rRNA from 1 species
AUUGAACGCUGGCGGCAUGCUUUACACAUGCAAGUCGAACGGUAACAGGGUGCUUGCACCGCUGACGAGUGGCGAACGGGUGAGUAAUGCGUCGGAACGUGCCGAGUAGUGGGGGAUAACGCAUCGAAAGGUGUGCUAAUACCGCAUACGUACUGAGGUAGAAAGUGGGGGACCUUCGGGCCUCACGCUACUCGAGCGGCCGACGUCUGAUUAGCUAGUCGGUGAGGUAAAGGCUCACCAAGGCGACGAUCAGUAGCGGGUCUGAGAGGAUGAUCCGCCACACUGGGACUGAGACACGGCCCAGACUCCUACGGGAGGCAGCAGUGGGGAAUUUUGGACAAUGGGCGCAAGCCUGAUCCAGCCAUGCCGCGUGUCUGAAGAAGGCCUUCGGGUUGUAAAGGACUUUUGUCCGGGAGCAAAUGCCUGGUGUUAAUAGCACUGGGAGCUGAGAGUACCGGAAGAAUAAGCACCGGCUAACUACGUGCCAGCAGCCGCUGUAAGAC